UUCGUCCGGAUGUGGGUUAAACUGAACAGAAGUCCAUUUACUUCUCCAUGAAAGUCUAUAUUGAAUUACGUACUCACUAAUCCAGAAAAAAAAACACGGAGCUACAUAUCUAGCCACUGACGUGUGCCAAUCUCGAAAACCAAAUAUGUGGCCACCAAAGGCUAUCAAAGGAUUUCAGCAGCAGCCAAGGAGGGCGCUAAACACAUGUAAAUUUGGCAGCACGGCACUUGGCAAUGACCUACAAAAAUUAUUUAUUCAAAGAUUUAUUUUUUGGUUGCCAUGUGUGUGGAGAAACAGACAGACAGAUAACCAGCCAGAAAUCCUGUUUUCCAUCGCCACACUGCGCUGCUAAGUGAUUUUAUGCUAAAUGCGCA